rnacentral:rRNA from 1 species
UACAGAGGGGGCAAGCGUUAUUCGGAAUUAUUGGGCGUAAAGGGCGCGUAGGCGGCUUGGCAAGUGGAAGGUGAAAUCCCUCGGCUCAACUGAGGAACUGCCUUCCAAACUGCUUUGCUUGAGUCCGGGAGAGGCGAGUGGAAUUCCCAGUGUAGCGGUGAAAUGCGUAGAUAUUGGGAGGAACACCAGUGGCGAAGGCGGCUCGCUGGACCGGUUACUGACGCUGAGGCGCGAAAGCGUGGGGAGCAAACGGG